rnacentral:rRNA from 1 species
GCCAGUGAUAAACUGGAGGAAGGUGGGGAUGAUGUCAAGUCAGCACGGCCCUUAUGGGGUGGGCUACACACGUGCUACAAUGGCGACUACAAUAGGUUGCAACGUCCCAAGGCUGAGCUAAUCCGUAAAAGUCGUCUCAGUUCGGAUUGUCCUCUGUAACUCGAGGGCAUGAAGUCGGAAUCGCUAGUAAUCGUGGAUCAGCAUGCCACGGUGAAUACGUUCUCGGGUCUUGUACACACUGCCCGUCACGCCAUGGGAAUUGGCUUAACUCGAAGCUGGUGCGCCAACCGUAAGGAGGCAGCCAUUUAAGGUUGGGUCGGUGACUGGGGUGAAGUCGUAACAAGGUAGCUGUAGGUGAACCAGCGGCUGGAUC